rnacentral:rRNA from 1 species
ACGAACGCUGGCGGCGUGCCUAACACAUGCAAGUCGAGCGGAGACAGUGAGUAGCUUGCUAUGAGCUGUUUUAGCGGCGGACGGGUGAGUAACGCGUGAGCAACCUUUCCCAGACAGGGGAAUAACACACCGAAAGGUGUACUAAUACCGCAUAAGACCACGGAAUCACAUGGUUCUGAGGUAAAAGAUUUAUCGGUUUGGGGUGGGCUCGCGUCCGAUUAGGUAGUUGGUGAGGUAACGGCCCACCAAGCCGACGAUCGGUAGCCGACCUGAGAGGGUGAUCGGCCACAUUGGGACUGAGACACGGCCCAAACUCCUACGGGAGGCAGCAGUGGGGAAUAUUGGGCAAUGGAGGAAACUCUGACCCAGCAACGCCGCGUGGAGGAAGAAGGUUUUCGGAUCGUAAACUCCUGUCCUUGGAGACGAGUAGAAGACGGUAUCCAAGGAGGAAGCCCCGGCUAACUACGUGCCAGCAGCCGCGGUAAUACGUAGGGGGCAAGCGUUGUCCGGAAUAAUUGGGCGUAAAGGGCGCGUAGGCGGCUCGGUAAGUCUGGAGUGAAAGUCCUGCUUUUAAGGUGGGAAUUGCUUUGGAUACUGUCGGGCUUGAGUGCAGGAGAGGUUAGUGGAAUUCCCAGUGUAGCGGUGAAAUGCGUAGAGAUUGGGAGGAACACCAGUGGCGAAGGCGACUAACUGGACUGUAACUGACGCUGAGGCGCGAAAGUGUGGGGAGCAAACAGGAUUAGAUACCCUGGUAGUCCACACUGUAAACGAUGAAUGCUAGGUGUAGGGGGUAUCGACCCCUUCUGUGCCGCAGUCAACACAAUAAGCAUUCCGCCUGGGGAGUACGGCCGCAAGGUUGAAACUCAAAGGAAUUGACGGGGGCCCGCACAAGCAGCGGAGCAUGUGGUUUAAUUCGACGCAACGCGAAGAACCUUACCAGGUCUUGACAUCCACUUAAACUUACAGAGAUGUAAGGUGUGCUUGCACAAAGUGAGACAGGUGGUGCAUGGUUGUCGUCAGCUCGUGUCGUGAGAUGUUGGGUUAAGUCCCGCAACGAGCGCAACCCUUAUGGUCAGUUACUACGCAAGAGGACUCUGGCCAGACUGCCGUUGACAAAACGGAGGAAGGUGGGGAUGACGUCAAAUCAUCAUGCCCCUUAUGACCUGGGCUACACACGUGCUACAAUGGCCACGACAGAGAGAAGCGAAAUCGUAAGGUAGAGCGGAACUCAAAAAAGUGGUCCCAGUUCGGAUUGUGGGCUGCAACCCGCCCACAUGAAGUCGGAGUUGCUAGUAAUCGCGGAUCAGCAUGCCGCGGUGAAUACGUUCCCGGGCCUUGUACACACCGCCCGUCACACCAUGGGAGUUGGGAAUGCCCGAAGCCAGUGACCUAACCGUAAGGAAGGAGCUGUCGAAGGCAGGCUCGAUAACUGGGGUG